AUUGACGUUACCCGCAGAAGAAGCACCGGCUAACUCCGUGCCAGCAGCCGCGGUAAUACGGAGGGUGCAAGCGUUAAUCGGAAUUACUGGGCGUAAAGCGCACGCAGGCGGUUUGUUAAGUCAGAUGUGAAAUCCCCGGGCUCAACCUGGGAACUGCAUCUGAUACUGGCAAGCUUGAGUCUCGUAGAGGGGGGUAGAAUUCCAGGUGUAGCGGUGAAAUGCGUAGAGAUCUGGAGGAAUACCGGUGGCGAAGGCGGCCCCCUGGACGAAGACUGACGCUCAGGUGCGAAAGCGUGGGGAGCAAACAGGAUU
rnacentral:rRNA from 1 species